rnacentral:rRNA from 1 species
UACGGGGGGAGCAAGCGUUGUUCGGAUUUACUGGGCGUAAAGGGCGCGUAGGCGGCCAGCACAAGUCAGUUGUGAAAUCUCCGGGCUUAACCCGGAAAGGUCAACCGAUACUGCGGGGCUAGAGUGCAGAAGGGGCAACUGGAAUUCUCGGUGUAGCGGUGAAAUGCGUAGAUAUCGAGAGGAACACCUGCGGCGAAGGCGGGUUGCUGGGCUGACACUGACGCUGAAGUGCGAAAGCUAGGGGAGCAAACGGG